rnacentral:rRNA from 1 species
UACGUAGGGGGCAAGCGUUGUCCGGAUUUAUUGGGCGUAAAGAGCGUGUAGGCGGCCAGGUAGGUCAGCUGUGAAAACUCGAGGCUCAACCUCGAGAUGUCGGCUGAAACCAUCUGGCUAGAGUCCGGAAGAGGAGAAUGGAAUUCCCGGUGUAGCGGUGAAAUGCGCAGAUAUCGGGAAGAACACCCGUGGCGAAGGCGGUUCUCUAGUACGGUACUGACGCUGAGACGCGAAAGCGUGGGGAGCGAACAGG